AGUGAACGCUGGCGGUAGGCCUAACACAUGCAAGUCGAACGGCAGCACAGGAGAGCUUGCUCUCUGGGUGGCGAGUGGCGGACGGGUGAGGAAUACAUCGGAAUCUGCCCAGUCGUGGGGGAUAACGUAGGGAAACUUACGCUAAUACCGCAUACGACCUUCGGGUGAAUGAGGGGGAUCGCAAGACCCUUCGCGAUUGGAUGAGCCGAUGUCGGAUUAGCUAGUUGGCGGGGUAAUGGCCCACCAAGGCGACGAUCCGUAGCUGGUCUGAGAGGAUGAUCAGCCACACUGGAACUGAGACACGGUCCAGACUCCUACGGGAGGCAGCAGUGGGGAAUAUUGGACAAUGGGCGCAAGCCUGAUCCAGACAUACCGCGUGGGUGAAGAAGGCCUUCGGGUUGUAAAGCCCCUUUGUUGGGAAAGAAAUCUUUCAGGCUAAUACCCUGGGAGGAUGACGGUACCCAAAGAAUAAGCACCGGCUAACUUCGU
rnacentral:rRNA from 1 species